GACGAACGCUGGCGGCGUGCCUAAUACAUGCAAGUCGAACGAACUCUGGUAUUGAUUGGUGCUUGCAUCAUGAUUUACAUUUGAGUGAGUGGCGAACUGGUGAGUAACACGUGGGAAACCUGCCCAGAAGCGGGGGAUAACACCUGGAAACAGAUGCUAAUACCGCAUAACAACUUGGACCGCAUGGUCCGAGCUUGAAAGAUGGCUUCGGCUAUCACUUUUGGAUGGUCCCGCGGCGUAUUAGCUAGAUGGUGGGGUAACGGCUCACCAUGGCAAUGAUACGUAGCCGACCUGAGAGGGUAAUCGGCCACAUUGGGACUGAGACACGGCCCAAACUCCUACGGGAGGCAGCAGUAGGGAAUCUUCCACAAUGGACGAAAGUCUGAUGGAGCAACGCCGCGUGAGUGAAGAAGGGUUUCGGCUCGUAAAACUCUGUUGUUAAAGAAGAACAUAUCUGAGAGUAACUGUUCAGGUAUUGACGGUAUUUAACCAGAAAGCCACGGCUAACUACGUGCCAGCAGCCGCGGUAAUACGUAGGUGGCAAGCGUUGUCCGGAUUUAUUGGGCGUAAAGCGAGCGCAGGCGGUUUUUUAAGUCUGAUGUGAAAGCCUUCGGCUCAACCGAAGAAGUGCAUCGGAAACUGGGAAACUUGAGUGCAGAAGAGGACAGUGGAACUCCAUGUGUAGCGGUGAAAUGCGUAGAUAUAUGGAAGAACACCAGUGGCGAAGGCGGCUGUCUGGUCUGUAACUGACGCUGAGGCUCGAAAGUAUGGGUAGCAAACAGGAUUAGAUACCCUGGUAGUCCAUACCGUAAACGAUGAAUGCUAAGUGUUGGAGGGUUUCCGCCCUUCAGUGCUGCAGCUAACGCAUUAAGCAUUCCGCCUGGGGAGUACGGCCGCAAGGCUGAAACUCAAAGGAAUUGACGGGGGCCCGCACAAGCGGUGGAGCAUGUGGUUUAAUUCGAAGCUACGCGAAGAACCUUACCAGGUCUUGACAUACUAUGCAAAUCUAAGAGAUUAGACGUUCCCUUCGGGGACAUGGAUACAGGUGGUGCAUGGUUGUCGUCAGCUCGUGUCGUGAGAUGUUGGGUUAAGUCCCGCAACGAGCGCAACCCUUAUUAUCAGUUGCCAGCAUUAAGUUGGGCACUCUGGUGAGACUGCCGGUGACAAACCGGAGGAAGGUGGGGAUGACGUCAAAUCAUCAUGCCCCUUAUGACCUGGGCUACACACGUGCUACAAUGGAUGGUACAACGAGUUGCGAACUCGCGAGAGUAAGCUAAUCUCUUAAAGCCAUUCUCAGUUCGGAUUGUAGGCUGCAACUCGCCUACAUGAAGUCGGAAUCGCUAGUAAUCG
rnacentral:rRNA from 1 species